rnacentral:lncRNA from 1 species
UUAUUUGAACACGAUAAUUUUACAGCAUAGCUGAUGUGGUCGUGUAACUAACUAAGUAACAAAUUCCACGAAAACAUGACUAUAGAGUAACUGUUCACUAUAGCAUAAUUGUUCACAUAAAAACACAUAACAAACAAUCACAUUAUUUGACACUUGCAUGACCCAAACUAUUAUACACACAUCUAUUACAACUUAAGCGCUUUAACAGACUUUUUAAAUUCUUUAAACGUUCUACUAAUUUUUAGUUCAAGGCUCAGUCCGUUCCAUAGACUAACAGCUUGAAAGGAGAUUAAUUUCUUAAGAAAGUCCGUGUUCGGUUUAGGAAGUUUAUAAGUCAUUAUAUUUCUAAGUUGGUAGCGGUGAACAUUUUUCGAAAAGAUUGACUGCAAAGUUGGAG